GAAAGCUAACAAGUUGCCUAAAAGGAGCCGGUCCUGAUUUGCUGGGCAUCUCUUCAACUGUUGGUGACACUUAGAAAUGAUGAACAUUUUCUCCAGCCUAGCGAGUUUACAUGAUUGUGCAUAAUGAUAGUGUACAUUACAACUAAAGUAGCUACAGUUAGUUGGUAGCAAGCUAACUCUAUAUCUCAGUUAGCUAUCUAAUUGUGUACUGCCUUGAAUUAUGCAAUGCAAUGUUUGAAUUUGAUAUGGUUUGUGAUGCAAAGUAUUUGCCGUGGAUUGCAGUGAUUCGAAGCAACAGAACAUUUUCCUGACUCCAUUAGUGCUGAGCGAUUAGUGCUUUUUGAGGUCAGUUCGGUUUGAUAAUUUAAAUAAUUUCGUUAUGAUCAAUUGUUUUACAAUGACUGUAAAGCUUUUUAAUGGAAAUUCCAAAGACCAAACUAUUCAACAUUCAAUUGCCAAAACAUUUUAAAUAUUCCAAUGUCUCUGUCUGGUCCACAUUGGGUAGAAAGCAAUAGAAAAAUAGGAAAUUACUAUGAAAUAAUCAAAUAUUUCAAUUGUGUAUGUACAGCGAGCUUCAAAGGUAUUGAGACAGUGAACAUUUUGUUGUUGUUUUGGCUCUGUACCCCAGCACUUUGGAUUUGAAAUGAUACAAUGACUGAGGUUAAAGUGCAGACUGUCAGCUUUAAUUUGAGGUUAUGCUGCAAUAGUCUAUGUGCCGGGGGGCUAGGGUCAGUCUGUUAUAUCUGGUGUAAUUAUCCUGUCUUAUUUGGUGUCCUGUCCCUCCUCCCCCGGAGAACCUGAGCCCUAGGACCCUGCCUCAGGACUACCUGGCCUGAUGACUCCUGGCUGUCCCCAGUCCACCUGGUUGUGCUGCUCCUUCAGUUUCAACUUUUCUGCCUGCGGCUAGGGAACACUGACCUGUUCACCGGACGUGCUACCUUGUCCCGGACCUGCUGUUUUCAACUCUCUCUCUCUCUUUCUUUCUUUACCGCACCUGCUGUUUCGACCUCUGAAUGCUCGGCUAUGAAAAGCCAACUGACAUUUACUCCUGAGGUACUGACCUGUUGCAUCCUCUACAACCACUGUGAUUAUUAUUUGACCCUUCUGGUCAUCUAUGAAUGUUUGAACAUCUUGAAGAACAAUCUGGCCUUAAAUGGCCAAAUACUCUUAUAAUCUCCACCCGGGAACAGCCAGAAGAGGACCCUGCCACCCCUCAGAGCCUGACCCUCAGAGCCUGAUUCCUCUCUAGGUUUCUUCCUAGAUUCCUGCCUUUGUAGGGAGUUUUUCCUAGCCACUGUGCUUCUACAUCUGCAUUGCUUGCUGUUUGGGGUUUUAGGCUGGGUUUCUGUGUAGUUAUAUACUAUACAGAAUAUAGUUUGUGAUAUCGGCUGAUGUAAAAAGGGCUUUAUAAAUACAUUUUAUUGAUUGAUUGAUCCAUAACGUGUGCACCGUUUAGAAAUUACAGCACUUUUUGUACUGCUGGAGGUCAUUUUGCAGGGCUCUGGCAGUGCUCCUCCUUGCACAAAGGCGGAGGUAGCGGUCCUGCUGCUGGGUUGUUGCCCUCCUACGGCCUCCUCCACGUCUCCUGAUGUACUGGCCUGUCUCCUGGUAGCGCCUCCAUGCUCUGGACACUACGCUGACAGACACAGCAAACCUUCUUGCCACAGCUCGCAUUGAUGUGCCAUCCUGGAUGAGCUGCACUACCUGAGCCACUUGUGUGGGUUGUAGACUUCUUCUCAUGCUACCACUAGAGUGAAAGCACCGCCAGCAUUCAAAAGUGACCAAAACAUCAGCCAGGAAGCAUAGGAACUGAGAAGUGGUCUGUGGUCACCACCUGCAGAACCCCUCCUUUAUUGGGGGUGUCUUGCUAAUAGCCUAUAAUUUCCACCUUUUGUCUAUUCCAUUUGCACAACAGCAUGUGAAAUUUAUUGUCAAUCAGUGUUGCUUCCUAAGUGGACAGUUUGAUUUCACAGAAGUGUGAUUGACUUGGAGUCACAUUGUGUUGUUUAAGUGUUCCCUUUAUUUUUUUGAGCAGUGUAUAUACAGUAUAUAUAUAUUUAAUCCGUUUUAGAAUAAGGCUGUAACGUAACAAAAUAUAGAACAUUUGAAGGGGUUUGAAUACUUUCCGAAUGCACUGUAUGUCUCGACUUGAUUUCUGUAGAGAAACGGCACGUUGGGCUCAAAUACAGAGCUAAAUUGAAUUCAAGCAAACCGAUGGUCUUUUUUCUUCUUUUUUUUAUAACUGAAAAAAUAUACAGUACUGUGCAAAAGGUUUAGGCAGGUGUGAAAAAAUGUUGUGAAGUAAGAAUGCUUUCAAAAAUAGACAUGUUAAUAGAUUAUAUUUAUCAAUUAACAAAAUGCAAAGUGAGAACAGAAAAUCUAAAUCAAAUCAAUAUUUGGUCUGACCAACCUCUGCCUUGAAAACAGCAUCAAUUCUUCUAGGUACACUUGCAGAGUUUUUGAAGGAACUCGGCAGGUAGGUUGUCCCAAACAUCUUGGAUAACUAACCACAGUUCUUCUGUGGAUUUAGGCAGCCUCGUGUGCUUCUCUCUCUUUGUGUAAUCCAAGACAGACUAUAUGAUGUUGAGAUCAGGGCUCUUGUGGGGGCCAUACCAUCACUUCCAGGACUCUUUGUACUUCACGCUGAAGAUAGUUCUGAAUGACUUUUGCUGUAUAUUUGGGGUCGUCGUGCUGCAGAAUAAAUUUGGGGCCAAUCAGAUGCCUCCCUGAUGGUAUUGCGUGAUGGAUAAGUGUCUGCCUGUACUUCUUAGCACUGAGGAGACCAUUAAUUCUGACCAAAUCCCCAACUCCAUUUGCAGAAAUGCAGCCCCAAACUUGCAAGGAACCUCCACCAUGCUUCACCAUUGCCUGCAGACACAUUCGUGUACCACUUUCCAGCCCGUCGCUGAACAAACUGCCUUCUGUUACAGCCAAAUAUUUCAAAUAUUUUGACUCCUCAGUCCAGAGCACCUUCUGCCAUUUUUCUGCACCCCAGUUCCCAUGUUUUCGUGCAUAGUUGAGUCACUUGGCUUCCACGUCGGAGGUUUGGCUUUUUGGCCACAGUCUUCCAUGAAGGCCACUUCUGACCAGACUUCUCCAGACAGUAGAUGGGUGUACCAGGGUCCCGCUGUUUUCUGCCAAUUCUGAGCUGAUGGCACUGCUGGACAUCUUCUGAUUGCGAAGGGAUGUAAGCAUGAUGUCUUUCAUCUGCUGCAGUAAGUUUCCUUGGCCGACCACUGCGUCUACGGUCCUCAACGUUGCCCAUUUCUUUGUGCUUCUUCAAAAGAGCUUGGACAGCACAUCUGGAAACUCCUGUCUGAAAUAUCUGCCUGGGAGAGACCUUACUGAUGCAGUAUAACUACCUUGUGUCUUCUUGCUGUGCUCAGUCUUGCCACGGUGUUUCUGUUUCAGUUAAUGAUUGUGUUUCAACCUACAUAUUGAAUUGAUGAUCAUUAGCACCUGUUUGGUAUAAUUGUUUCAUCAUACACCUGACUAUAUGCCUACAAAAUCCCUGACUUUGUGCAAGUGUACCUAGAAGAAUUUAUGUUGUUUUGAAGGCAAAGGGUGGUCACACCAAAUAUGGAUUUGAUUUAGAUUUUUCUUCUGUUCACUCACUUUGCAUUUUGUUAAUUGAUAAAUGUAAACUAUUAACAUGUCUAGUUUUGAAAGCAUUCUUACUUUACAGCAUUUUUUCACACCUACCUAAUACUUUUGCACAGUACUGUAUAAUGGUUAAUAUGACAAGCCAGGGACCUUGUUCCGCAUUUUAAACUACUGGGAGCUCGUAAAUCUCAGACUUCUGACUUCAGUGUGUUCAAGACAACUGAGAACUCGGGGGGGGGGAGGAUUUGUUUCCGACUGGGAUUAUUUUUUUUGAAUGGUCAUCCAACUCGGAAUUCCAAGUCGGGAACUCUGGCCUCUUUCUAGAGCUCUGACUUUCCAACCCUAAGAUGACUGACGUCAUCAUUUGAACAAUUUUUUCCCCAGAGUUCCCAGAUGUCUUGAAAGCAACAAACUGUUUAGGUGUUAAGCCUUUGUUAAAAGAUGCUUAAAAUUAUUAAAAGACACAACUAUUCGUGUGACCCAUCUGUAGGGGAGAGGGGUAAGUAGCGGUGGCAUGUAGCCUAGCGGUUAAGAGCGUUGGGCCAGUACCCAAAAGGUUGCUGGUUCAAAUCUCCGAGCCGACUUAGGUGAAAAAUGUGUGCCCUUGAUUAAGGCAUGUAACCUCAAACCUCAAAAAUGUCAUUCUGGGUAAGAGUAUCUGCUAAAUGACUAGACUGUAAUGUCAAAUGUAUGUUGAGCAAAAAGGCUAAGUAGAGUCACCCUUAUUUCUAGGAGACCAUUCACAAAUUAAUAAUUUGACCAAAUACUUAGGAAGAGGCCAUCAUUUCAUGGAAACUGUAAAGGAAGAAACCACAUGGAAAAAGUGGUAAGCAAGUAAGGUCCAUUUUCAUCAAGUCAAAUACAUUUGUGUUUGAGUUUUCAUGAUGCUUGUAGAUAAAUUAAAGAUUGUUCUGUACAUCAGAUGGGGUCUAAGCUCUAUUAAGAGGUCUUAAACCUAGCAUGAAAGUGCGUCCUUGUAGCUGUUUGGGCUAGAACUUUUCUAGAAUGCUUAAGAACAGAUGCUAUUAAACAAAACAGCAUCUGUUUUUGAGCAUUCUAGAAAACGGUUAGCUAUUUACUUAGGUAGCAGUGGUACGCUAGCAAGCCUGACAUACACUAUAUAUACACAAAAGUAUGUGGACACCCCUUCAAAUGUGUGGAUUCGGCUAUUGCAGCCACACCCGUGGCUGACAGGUGUAUAAAAUUGAGCACACAGCCAUGCAAUCUCCAUAGACAAACAUUGGCAGUAGAAUGGCCUUACUGAAGAGCUCAGUGACUUUCAACUUGGCACUGUCACAGGAUGCCAUCUUUCCAACAAGUCAAUUCAUCGAAUCGCUGCCCUGCUAGAGUUUUCCCGGUCAACUGUAAGUGUUGUUAUUGUGAAGUGGAAACGUCUAGGAGCAACAACGGCUUAGCCGCAAAGUGGUAGGCCACACAAGUUCACAGAAUGGGACCACCUAGUGCUGAAGUGUGUAGCGCCUAAAAUCGUCUGUCCUCAGUUCCAAACUGCCUCUGGGAGCAACGUCAGCACAAUAACUGUUCGUCGGGGGCUUCAUGAAAUGGGUUUCCAUGGCCGAGCAGCCACACACAAGCGUAAGAUCACCAUGCGCAAAGCCAAGUGUCUGCUGGAGUGGUGUAAAGCUCUGGAGUGAUGAAUCACGCUGAUAGUCCAGAUGGUGAAGUGUCGAACUGCUAUACUUUAUCUUGGCCAGGUCGCAGUUGUAAAUGAGAACAUGUUCUCAACUGGCCUACCUGGUUAAAUAAAGGUGAAAUAAAGUCCGACAGACAAAUCUGUGUUUGGCAGAUACCAGGAGAACGCUACCUGCCCGAAUGCAUAGUGCCCACUGUAAAGUUUGGUGGAGGAGGAAUAAUGGACUAGGGCUGUAUUUCAUGGUUCUGGCUAGGCCCCUUAGUUCCAGUAAAGGGAAAUUUUAAUGCUACAGCAUAGAAUGACAUUCUAGACGAUUCUGUGAUUCCAACUCUGUGACAACAGUUUGAGGAAGGCCCUUUCCUAUUUCAGCAUGACAAUGCCCCAGUGCACAAAGCAAGGUCCAUACAAUGGUUUGUUGAGAUCGGUGUGGAAGAACUUGACUGGCCUGCACAGAGCCCUGACCUCAAACCAGUCAAACACCUUUGGGAUGAAUUGGAACGCCGACUGCGAGCCAGGCCUAAUUGCCCAACAUCGGUGCCCAACCGCACUAAUGCUCUUGUUGCUGAAUGGAACAAGUCCACGCAGCAAUGUUCCAACAUCGAGUGGAGGCUGUCAUAGCAGCAAAGGGGGACCGACUCCAUAUUAAUGUCCAUGAUUUUGGGAUGAGAUGUUCGAUGAGCAGGUGUCCACAUACUUUUGAACAUGUAGCGUAUUUUGGAUACACAUAGCUGUGUGAAGGGGUGCAGCACAUGGUUUCUCAGAUGCAGCACAUGGUGUCUCGUCAGACAGUUCCCACAUUUCCACAUCACACAAAUCAUUUCACCUCUUUAACAGUUUUCCAGCCCACAGGCAGACUUGAACACAACAGGAGCCCAAAGUAGUAAAUGGCGUAUAGUAGCACUACCACAGGCUGAUUGUGCCAUACACUGCUACACCACAACUAACCUUCAGUCUCUCUCUCUCGCUUUUUCUCCCUCCCUCCCCUCCAUCUCUAGUUGGUGAAGCAGGAGGGCACAGGAACAGAGAUGCCUAUGACGUGGGACAAGGUGUUUGUUCUCUAUGUUUGCACGCUGCUGGAUGGAACCCUAUUUGACGGAAUCUCGUUUGGGUCUGCUAAGAGGAGUGGCGAAAGCCCUGACCGAUAUGGAGCAGGGAGUCCCUAUUCAUCAUCAAACCAAAGGGUGCGUAACUGGUGGCAGGGAAGUCAGACGCAGGAGAGCAGAACUUGGUAAUAACUGGAGCAGUUUAAUAGUAAAACCAACGGCAUAAGAAAUACAAAAUAUGGGCACAAUAACCCGACGCGCACCAGUCAAACAAAUGUGCACAAGCACUUACAAUAAACAAUACCACACAAAGACAUGGGGGGAACAGCGCCGCCUGAGUCUCCCUCCUGUCCAGCGCCGCCUGAGUCUCCCUCCAGUCCGGAGCGCCGCCUGAGUCUCCCUCCAGUCCGGAGCCGCCUGAGUCUCCCUCCAGCCCGGAGCGCCGCCUGAGUCUCCCUCCAGCCCGGAGCGCCGCCUGAGUCUCCCUCCAGCCCGGAGCGCCGCCUGAGUCUCCCUCCAGCCCGGAGCGCCGCCUGAGUCUCCCUCCAGCCCGGAGCGCCGCCUGAGUCUCCCUCCAGUCCGGAGCGCCGCCUGAGUCUCCCUCCAGUCCGGAGCCGCCUGAGUCACCCUCCAGUCCGGAGCCGCCAGUGCCGCCCUUCAGUCCGGAGCCGCCCUUCAGUCCGGAGCUGCCCCUCAGUCCAGUGGGGCCCUUUAUUAGGGUUCCCAGUCCAAGGUCGGCGGCGAGAGUCACCGCUCCAAAGAGGUUACUGAAGCGGGGUAUGACUAUGGUGGAGUGGGGUCCACGUCCCGCGCCAGAGCCACCACCGCGGACAGAAGCCCACCCAGACCCUCCCCUAUAGGUUUAGGUUUUGCGGCCGGAGUCCGCACCUUGGGGGGGUGGGGGUAGUGUCACGCCCUGACCAUAGUUUGCUUUGUAUGUUUGUAUGUUUUGUUUGGUCAUGUUGUGAUCUGAGUGGGCAUUCUAUGUUUUAUGUCUAGUUUGUCUAAUACUAUGUGUUUGGCCUGAUAUGGUUCUCAAUCAGAGGCAGGUGUUAGUCGUUGUCUCUGAUUGGGAACCAUAUUUAGGUAGCCUGUUUUGUAUUGUGGGUUGUGGGUGAUUGUUCCUGUUUGUGUGUUCCUGUGUUUAUUAGUGUUCACUAUUUCGGGACUGUUGCGUCGUCGUUUAUUUUGUCAGUUUAUUGUUUUUGUUCUUUAUUGAAAGUAUUCUAAUAAAUAUGAAUACUCACCA